rnacentral:rRNA from 1 species
CGAUACGACCGUACCGCAAACCGACACUGGUGCGCGAGAUGAGUAUUCUAAGGCGCUUGAGAGAACUCAGGAGAAGGAACUCGGCAAAUUGACACCGUAACUUCGGAAGAAGGUGUGCCUUAUUAGUGUGAAGUGAACAACGGAGCAUGAAUGGGUUGCAAAAAAUCGGUGGCUGCGACUGUUUAUUAAAAACACAGCACUCUGCAAACACGAAAGUGGACGUAUAGGGUGUGACGCCUGCCCGGUGCUGGAAGAUUAAAUGAUGGGGUGCAAGCUCUUGAUUGAAGUCCCAGUAAACGGCGGCCGUAACGAUAACGGUCCUAAGGUAGCGAAAUUCCUUGUCGGGUAAGUUCCGACCUGCACGAAUGGCGUAACGAUGGCCACACUGUCUCCUCCUGAGACUCAGCGAAGUUGAAAUGUUUGUGAUGAUGCAAUCUCCCCGCGGAAAGACGGAAAGACCCCAUGAACCUUUACUGUAGCUUUGUAUUGGACUUUGAACAGAUCUGUGUAGGAUAGGUGUAGGCUUUGAAGCAGGGUCGCUAGAUCUUGUGGAGCCAACGUUGAAAUACCACCCUGGUGUGUUUGAGGUUCUAACCUAGGUCCAUUAUCUGGAUCGGGGACAGUGCAUGGUAGGCAGUUUGACUGGGGCGGUCUCCUCCCAGCGUAACGGAGGAGUUCGAAGGUACGCUAGUUACGGUCGGACAUCGUGACGAUAGUGCAAUGGCAUAAGCGUGCUUAACUGCGAGACUGACAAGUCGAGCAGAUGCGAAAGCAGGACAUAGUGAUCCGGUGGUUCUGUAUGGAAGGGCCAUCGCUCAACGGAUAAAAGGUACUCUGGGGAUAACAGGCUGAUACCGCCCAAGAGUUCAUAUCGACGGCGGUGUUUGGCACCUCGAUGUCGGCUCAUCUCAUCCUGGGGCUGUAGCCGGUCCCAAGGGUAUGGCUGUUCGCCAUUUAAAGAGGUACGUGAGCUGGGUUUAAAACGUCGUGAGACAGUUUGGUCCCUAUCUUCCGUGGGCGCUGCAGAUUUGAGGAAGCCUGCUCCUAGUACGAGAGGACCGGAGUGGACACACCUCUGGUGUAUCGGUUGUCACGCCAGUGGCAUUGCCGAGUAGCUAAGUGUGGAAGAGAUAACCGCUGAAAGCAUCUAAGCGGGAAACUCGUUUCAAGAUGAGAUCUGCCGGGGCCUUGAGCCCCCUGAAGAGUCGUUCAAGACCAGGACGUUGAUAGGUCAGGUGUGGAAGC